AUAUUACUAUGCGGAGGAAAAGAAACUAACAAGGAUUCCUUUAGUAACGGCGAGUGAACAAGGAAUAGCCCAUCACCGAAUCCUUCUUGACUUCAAGAAAGGAGUUGUGGUGUAAAGGACAGUCUUCGCUAUAUUAUUGUCAGCUCAAGUUCUCUUGAAUGGGGCUUUCCCAGAGCGGGUGUAAGGCCUAUAGUGGCUGAUCAAUAAUGUAGCUUUGGUUGUCCCGAGAGUCGGGUUGCUUGAGAUCGCAGCCCUAAGACGGGUGGUAAACUCCAUCCAAGGCUAAAUACCGUUGCGAGACCGAUAGCGCACAAGUA
rnacentral:rRNA from 1 species